rnacentral:rRNA from 1 species
AUUGAACGCUGGCGGCAGGCCUAACACAUGCAAGUCGAGCGGAUGAGUGGAGCUUGCUCCAUGAUUCAGCGGCGGACGGGUGAGUAAUGCCUAGGAAUCUGCCUGGUAGUGGGGGACAACGUUUCGAAAGGAACGCUAAUACCGCAUACGUCCCACGGGAGAAAGCAGGGGACCUUCGGGCCUUGCGCUAUCAGAUGAGCCUAGGUCGGAUUAGCUAGUUGGUGAGGUAAAGGCUCACCAAGGCGACGAUCCGUAACUGGUCUGAGAGGAUGAUCAGUCACACUGGAACUGAGACACGGUCCAGACUCCUACGGGAGGCAGCAGUGGGGAAUAUUGGACAAUGGGCGAAAGCCUGAUCCAGCCAUGCCGCGUGUGUGAAGAAGGUCUUCGGAUUGUAAAGCACUUUAAGUUGGGAAGAAGGGCAGUAAGUUAGUACCUUGCUGUUUUGACGUUACCGACAGAAUAAGCACCGGCUAACUUCGUGCCAGCAGCCGCGGUAAAAC